CUCUCUAUCUCAUUGGACUAAUCACACGUGUUUCGGAAAGAAUGCGUCUGUGAAUUGGCUUUAGUCGUUCAAUGAUAGAAUCACUGAAGAAGCACAAAAGUAAUGCGAGUAACGGGCUAGAGAAACUGAGUGAGGCUCGUCUGGCUGUUAAAUAAAAGUUUAAUUCGUCGCCGCGUAUUACGCCGAUAAGCUUGGAUUCUGCGGAUCGCAAACAACCCCUGCAGGAGUGUAAUCUCCCUUCGUCCCUUUCCCCUAUAAGGGGCAGGGGUCGAAUUCAUCCACAUCGAAGCAGCCGCCCCACCUCUCGUCGCUAACUUUUCAAUCUCGCUCGAAUAAUCCUCGCGACCCCCCGCGACCCCCCGCAGCCCCCCGCAAGCCCCCGCGGUUACCUCGGCAACGAUCUGCCCUCUCAUUGGCUGGAUUCCUUUCUCUCCGUAAUCCCCGCGUCCCUGGAAUCUCCCCGUCUACGUUGAGGGUAUACGCCCCUGGCUCCCAGUGACCCUUAACGCACACGCUGAACACAGCCACAGCCUCAACCUCCUCCGUACUUAGCCCCGUGGUUAACUUCAAUGAGCGGAUAACAAGCCACCCCUCGACUGCGCCCUGUAAUAUUCACUCGCAUAAAUGGACUCGCGGCUUUGUCAAAUCAACUGUCGCUUGUCGUAAACAACCCCGAACUCUAUAGAAAUGCGCGAUACGCUCUACACAUCUCGUAUCUCCAUCUAUCUGGCUUAGAAGGCUCCGCAGCGCCUCGACUUCGUUACGAUUAGUGGCUUCGCUUAUUUUCAUCGUGUCAUUACUCUUUUCAAUUAUUGUUGCUUACUGCUGAUCCUGCUGAUCCUGCUGAUCCUGCUGAUCCUGCUGAUCAAACGUUUAUUAUUAUCGUAGGCUCAAUGGCGGCCUAUUUUUUCAUCGAUCAUUCAGCGGAUACGUUUGACCGACAUGAGCUUUCAAUGGAGAAGUAAUUGCCCGUGAUUUCAUUCCUUUGCGAACGCAGAACUUUCACAUUUCCACAUUUCCACAUUUCCACAUUUCCACACUUCCACACAUUCGUGCGGGGAUGAAGAUCGAGCGCGUUGACCUCUUCUAAUCUCGGCAACGGUUGCGCCUCCUUGCCGGGCCUUUUCGCAGCGCUGGAAUAGCGAGAGCCACACGCUGGCAGUGUCUUCCAGCUGCAAGUUCACAUUUAUCGAUUGUUUCAUCUUACUGAAACGCCAGGUUACGCAAAUCUGGGAACUUUACUGACGGCGGAUUCUCUAGGCGUUCUCUUUUAAUAGAGAUGGAUGGCAGAGAGCAGAAACUUGCUGCGUAGGGAAGUCCUCCUAUAUCAUCUGUGACGGUGUCCCGAGCAUUAUGCUAACAUAAACGAGCCAAUCAGACAGCUUUGUGGUGGCAAUCAUCUCCUGACGAGCCAGCCGUUAGGACGCUAACGGAAAAGGGUCGCAAGCUGGUUAAUCACUUGAACGAUUUUCGUUUGUUCGCGAGUGCUUUUUCCUGGGCACGAGAAACGUCGAGAUCAACAGCGUAAGGGGAAAGGGGACAGACGGAAAGAUAAGUAAAGGAGAGGAGAAAAGAGUGAAGAGUCUGCAUUCGUGGAAGCCGAGCAAAUAGGGCAAACGGGGCAAACGGGGCAAACGGGGCAAACGGGGCAAACGGGGCAAACGGGCCUGCCUUUCAGUCGUAAUUGGAACCACGGGAGCCUGACCAAAGUCCGUGUUCAAGGACUCUUUUCCUACAACCAUCGUCCUUCGAGAGUGUCUCCAGGCAGCCUGUGCAGGAAACAUAAUAAACCAGCUGGCCUCUUCGAUACUCACAGACCGGAUAAUCCUCAAGGACUCGAGACUCGAUACCGCUUCAAUCUCAUUGUCAGGAUCAUCUACGGAUAGGAGAUGACACCUCCGACACUCUAAUUGACGAAACAGCUGAUUAACGAUUCAAAAUUGGAAAGUCCAAUUUUGGGGCACUGGGCUCGAGGGGAAGGGCGAACGAGGUGUGACAGUCGAAGCUGCUCGAAGCUGCUCGAAGCACAGAGGACAGUGGAAAAGAGAGUUCUUUGCGAAGCCUCUUGGGACGAUUCCACGCCUUCCCGACGUUGCUUCCUGGAGCGACCUGGAGGAACCUGCAGAAACCUGGAAACGUCACUGCAGGCUGCAGCUACAGCAGCGACCAAGCCUAUAGCAAUACAG